UGUGGAGAUGAUAGCCAGAGGGUUUGGUUAUCUGGAAGUCCAGGUCACCAAGCUGUGCUGCAGGCAGGUUGCUAAACAUCAGGCUCUUCUUUCAGAUGUGAUUUGAAAUGCAGCUGAGGUCUUGCUGGGGUUCCAUGGGGAACCCGUCACAGUGCAACCACAGUAUGCAUUUUCCUGCAUUUUUCUACUUUACAGUAGAAAAUGUCUGAACAAGCUGUGCUGGUGACAUCCACCUCUGAAGUGAUAGCACCAUGUAGAUGAUAUUUGCUGGGGUGUGGAGUGUACACAGGGAGAAUGGUUGUGUGUCUGAUUGGUCAGUUAGAAAAAUUGAAGCAAAGGGUUGCUUUGCUGUAGUGGCUGCAGUUUUAAUGGGCAAUAGAUAAACAUCUUGGCAGGUGCUUGGUGAUCUGCAGCUGUUUUUGGAAUGGGUCAUUAAGCAAAACAGAAAUAGUCCUGAGGAAGAGGAAAAACUUGAACGUGAAAGAGAAAUGAUGAAUGGUAUUUCCUUACAGCUGCUUUACUAGGUCAUCAAAACAGCUAACUGAGUUUUGGAGGUCUUUUCUGAUUCGAGAGUUGUUAAAAGAUGUGAAAUACAUAAAAUAUGUUUAUGUGCCAGUAUUUAUAGAUUAUGUUAAGUAAAUAGGGAAAAUGAUAGCCACGAAUAAAACCUUACAGAAAAUGCAUGCAUUGAUAACCUCAUGUAAAUGGUACAUGAGAGGCACCCUGGGCCAAGAAUAGAAGAAAAAUUCUUUAGAUUUUUCAGUGGCAUGGAAUCCUAACAGCAAUAGAGCCCUAUAUAAGGUAAGGAUGGAAAAAUGUAACCACUGUGCAGAAAAUAUGGGAUAAAUAUUAUUAAUAAAUACUACUGCAGCAUAUUAGGAAAAGAAUAGGUUAGUCAAUAUCUUCCCAUUUUGCUUUGAUGUAGAAAUGUCUCUUCGAGGAACAUCUAGCUAGAAUUUCAAAAUGGUGCUUAAUAGCAUUCGAUAAAUAAAACAGACAGAAUUACUUGCUUCAAAGAAUAUUGAGAGGGCUAUCUUAAGACCAAUGAUAUUUGUUCUAAGUGCCUCUUGGAAUAUAAAUGCAAUUUCAGAGUCAUAGAAGAGAGCUUUUGGAUUUCUAGAAGCUAUAAACAAUGAACCUGGACAGCUGUGAACUUGUUUGGCCUGCCAUGAAUUUCAAGCAACAUCAUGAAAGUUAUGAUGUGGUUCAUCAAUAAUGGAAAUGGCUGUGCAACCGGUGCCCAUCUGCAAUGCUAUACAGAAAAGUGCUCUUCUAUAAUGUUUUUUCUUGCUGUUAUGUUUUGCAGUUACCAGAUUUCUGAAGGCCAGAAGCACCCUAAUUCUGUGUCUGUUCUUUCUCCCUGGAAAGCUGGUACUGAGCACUGUGUACUGCCAUAGAAGAUUUACGAUUGCUUAACCCCAAAUACUUGGUCUCAAAGCUGAAUUUAAUGGAGGAGGUUCCCUUCCAUUAUAAUCUUAAUAUCCUUAAUAUGUUCUUUUGGUUUAGUGGUGUUUCAGCAGGUUUGUAUUUAUAGGUGCUAUUUUCCUUGCUCCCCACUGCAGCAGUGACUGUAUAUCUACCUUGGUUGACUAUUAUCCCUUGGUGCUUUUGCUGUGAUAUACUUAAUUACAUUGUUCUGCUUUUGUCUCAGAUCAGGGCAAGGACAAAAACACAACAGUGAAGAAAUCUUUGGAGUAUCCAUCCUAUCUGCACAUCAUCCAUAGCCAUCUGAGUGCUGUUGCAGCGGCUCAACUGCACUUGUAUUGCCGGGUGUAUCUGAUGGGUUGAGGAUCGGCAGUGGUUGGAUUAGGAAAAGCAAUUGACUGCUUCCCUGCCAGGCUCCCGCUGGGCUGUUCUCCACAAAUAACAAAAGCAGCUGUCAGAGUUCCCUUCAGCAGGAGCCAUGACCAGAACCCUGCGAGAACAGAACUUGGGAGCAGCUUCUGGUAGAAAGCUGUAUGGUGUCAACUAAGGCGAUGUCCUAAAACUGGUCUCUGGCCCUAACUUUGCUCUGAACUCCUUCAGGAGCUGCAGAGAUGGUCUGUC
ensembl:lncRNA